rnacentral:rRNA from 1 species
AGUGAACGCUGGCGGCAGGCCUAACACAUGCAAGUCGAACGGCAACACAGUGCGAGUUGGUGCUUAGGUGAGGCGUGUGGGGGACGGGAGUGGAAUACGGCGAACUCCACGUUUGCGUGGGGGAACUAGUGGGGACACUUACGCAUAUAGCAUAUCGUACCUAGGGGAGAAAGCAGGGGAUCAGGGGACCUUGCGCUCGUGAAUGAGCAGAUGUGGGAUUAGCUAGUGGGUGGGGUAAAGGCCCACCUAGGCGACGAUCCGUAGCUGGUCUGAGAGGAUGAUCAGCCACACUGGAACUGAGACACGGUCCAGACUCCUACGGGAGGCAGCAGUGGGGAAUAUUGGACAAUGGGCGCAAGCCUGAUCCAGCCAUACCGCGUGGAUGAAGAAGGCCUUCGGGUUGUAAAGCCCUUUUGUUGGGAAAGAAGAGCAGAAAGUUAAUACCCCGCUGUACUGACGGUACCCGAAGAAUAAGCACCGGCUAACUUCGUG